GUGCUCGCUUUGGCAGCACAUAUACUAAAAUUGGAAUGAUACAGAGAAGAUUAGCAUGGCCCCUGCACAAGGAAGACAUGCAAAUUCAUAAAGCGUUCCAUAUUUUA
rnacentral:snRNA from 1 species